rnacentral:rRNA from 1 species
UGAAGUAGGAAUCGCUAGUAAUCGUGUAUCAGCGAGUCGCUUGUGAAUACGUUCUUCACCCUUGUACUCACCCCAUGUAAGGUCAUCGAAGCUGAUAUUGUUAGAACUCACCUAGGGUCAGGGAUGCCUAAGGCAAGAGUGGUGACUGGGAUGAAGUCGUAACAAGGUAGCCGUACGAGAACGUGUGGCUGGAUCACCU